rnacentral:lncRNA from 1 species
AUCUUCUUCGCACCGGCAUCGAUCAGAGCGUCGUCCAGAGGUACAUGGCGUCCAGGACUAUCAAGGAAGCGCAAAGAACGAUGUGCAUUGGAGUCUUCCUGAACAUCAUCUACAUGAUUGUCAUCGGAGUGAUGGCGAUGGCCUUGAUUUACUGGUUCCGAGACUGCGAUCCCUUAUUGACCGGCGAAAUUAAGAAGUACGAUGAGAUUCUGCCUUACUAUGUGAAGCAACACCUCUUCAGUUUUCCGUGUUUUUCUGGUCUUUUCCUAAC